AAAGAAGCCAGCCUCGAGGAGGAGGACGCCCCGUCGGCUGCUUCCGAGGGUCACCGUGUGCUCUCGGCGGUUCUCCCCGUCUCUCUCGGCCCUGAGGACAAGAUGGUCAACAACGAACCCAGUACUGACGACACCUACCAAGUCGGCGAGCCCGAGGGCUCCCCGGAGCCACAGUACCCCCCCGGCGUGGGAGACGUACUUCAGAAUAACGGAAAGAAGAAAUCGAAAAAUGAUCAGCACGAGAAACAAUCAGUUCUGGACAGGAUCCUGCAAAAUACUGAAAAAUCUCCAGGUAAACGGCAGCAAUACUGUGGCUUAACAACAUAGCAGCUCGUGGUGCUGGGCUGUCCCCCUGGUUGAAGGGAGCCGAGCAUCCAGUCCAGGCACACACGUGUCCCGUGAGUGGCUCUGCAAGAGCAGGUGCCUGGGUCCCCAUGGACCAGCCUCAAGCCAGGAGGCCCCGGCCCCCAGGUCCACAUUCCAGGCCUAACUCCCUCCCCAGGAGCAGCUGGGACAUGAGUCCUUGUCACACACGCACGUCACCACCCUGUGACCAGGCCUUCUCUGCAGGCCCCCCAGGCCCCCGGGGCCUCCCUGACUCACCCUUACUGCUGAGGUAGGUGCACAGGGCCCCGUGGCUUCUGCCCCUGCCCCACCCUUGUUCCUGGAGCUUUCCAGAACCACCCCUCCAGGCCGGCCCACCCGCCCUAGCCUCUCCCAGGCAGAAGCAGCACCAGGCGACCCUCCGGCAUCUUCCUCGCACUCCUGUCACCUUCGU
rnacentral:lncRNA from 1 species